ACGUGACCGCAUGGUCUGCGUUUGGAAAGAUUUUUCGGUUGGGGAUGGGCUCGCGGCCUAUCAGCUUGUUGGUGAGGUAAUGGCUCACCAAGGCGUCGACGGGUAGCCGGCCUGAGAGGGUGACCGGCCACACUGGGACUGAGACACGGCCCAGACUCCUACGGGAGGCAGCAGUGGGGAAUAUUGCACAAUGGGCGAAAGCCUGAUGCAGCAACGCCGCGUGAGGGAUGACGGCCUUCGGGUUGUAAACCUCUUUUAGCAGGGAAGAAGCGAAAGUGACGGUACCUGCAGAAAAAGCGCCGGCUAACUACGUGCCAGCAGCCGCGGUAAUACGUAGGGCGCAAGCGUUAUCCGGAAUUAUUGGGCGUAAAGAGCUCGUAGGCGGUUUGUCGCGUCUGCUGUGAAAUCCCGAGGCUCAACCUCGGGCCUGCAGUGGGUACGGGCAGACUAGAGUGCGGUAGGGGAGAUUGGAAUUCCUGGUGUAGCGGUGGAAUGCGCAGAUAUCAGGAGGAACACCGAUGGCGAAGGCAGAUCUCUGGGCCGUAACUGACGCUGAGGAGCGAAAGGGUGGGGAGCAAACAGGCUUAGAUACCCUGGUAGUCCACCCCGUAAACGUUGGGAACUAGUUGUGGGGUCCAUUCCACGGAUUCCGUGACGCAGCUAACGCAUUAAGUUCCCCGCCUGGGGAGUACGGCCGCAAGGCUAAAACUCAAAGGAAUUGACGGGGACCCGCACAAGCGGCGGAGCAUGCGGAUUAAUUCGAUGCAACGCGAAGAACCUUACCAAGGCUUGACAUAUACGAGAACGGGCCAGAAAUGGUCAACUCUUUGGACACUCGUAAACAGGUGGUGCAUGGUUGUCGUCAGCUCGUGUCGUGAGAUGUUGGGUUAAGUCCCGCAACGAGCGCAACCCUCGUUCUAUGUUGCCAGCACGUAAUGGUGGGAACUCAUGGGAUACUGCCGGGGUCAACUCGGAGGAAGGUGGGGAUGACGUCAAAUCAUCAUGCCCCUUAUGUCUUGGGCUUCACGCAUGCUACAAUGGCCGGUACAAAGGGCUGCAAUACCGU
rnacentral:rRNA from 1 species